AAAUAAUAAGCAACUAUUGCAUUCAGUUUCGACCUGAAAGAAGAUAAAAUUUAUCAUUAUUUA
rnacentral:tRNA from 1 species